CAAUAGCGUAUAUUAAAGUUGUUGCAGUUAAAAAGCUCGUAGUUGGAUUUCUGGUGGGAGCGAUCGGUCUGGCGCUUAGCGCGAGUACUUGCAUCGUCUCCGGCCAUCCUUGGGGAGAGUCUGUCUGGCAUUAAGUUGUCGGGCAGAGGAUCCUCAUCGUUUACUGUGAAAAAAUUAGAGUGUUCAAAGCAGGCUUAUGCCGUUGAAUAUAUUAGCAUGGAAUAAUAAGAUAGGACUUUGGUACUAUUUUGUUGGUUUGCGCACCAAAGUAAUGAUUAAUAGGGACAGUGGGGGGUAUUCGUAUUCCGUUGUCAGAGGUGAAAUUCUUGGAUUUACGGAAGACGAACUACUGCGAAAGCAUUUACCAAGGAUGUUUUCAUUAA
rnacentral:rRNA from 1 species